CUUUUUAGUGACAGCUCAAAUUCUAUAUUUUCGAUAUAAUAGAUGUAGUAGUUGGAGAUCUUGAGGUCGUGUGACGAGUGAGUAAGUGUAAAUUCAAGUUGGAGUUUUCCCAUUAACGAGGCCUUUUGAACACAACACGUUUUGCGAGAAAAGGCGCCCAAAGAUCGUGGUCAGAGCUUGGGGAAAAACGGUCGGUGCAUAAAGUCACGGUUGACGGCUGACUGCACGGCGCCGGUAAAAGGAUGACGGCACGCAGAGAGAGGACGGCAUUUUUGUUUGCUGCCAGUGGAUAAUAUGGACCAACGUCAUAAGGGGACAAACCCCGUCCGGCCCAGCAGCCCGCGGCCCAUCCACCGUAGGAUCCCAGCGGCAGCGUCCCAGAGUGGCUUCCCACCUGGCACUGACGCUGGCUCCUCAGCUGGAAAGCCGCUGACUCUGGAGACCGACCAACGACGUAAGCGGACAAGAG